UUAUUUAUUUUGAUGUUAUGUGUUGGGAUGUUUUGUGUAGUGGCGCAGUUUUAGUAUAGUGUCUUGUGAUGUGUUGUUUUGUAUCAUGGGUUGUGUUGUCAUGCAUGUGUUUAUGUCGUGAUGUCUUGUUUUUUAAUGUGUUGUGUUGUGUCGUCAUGUUUGAUGUUAUGUGUCGUUAUGUGCUCUGUUACCUCGUAUUGUGAUGUGUUGUUUUCUUCUGUGUUGUGUCAUUGCGUGUGUGUUUGUGUUGUGAUGUGUUGUGUUGUGUCAUGUCCUUUCGCAUGACCUCUUUACUUGAUUCAUUCACUUAGUGGGUAAGUGGGUCUAAAGGUGAGUAUGGUUCCUCCAGAGUCAUUGUUAACAUGAAACAAAGUCAGUGUAGGACCCAUUUUCUUUUUGUUUUUUUUAGGAAAAGGACCUCAAUCGAGAAGAAACCCCCAGAAGAGCCGAGCACGAGACAGAAGAAGCAUGAGGACCAAACAUACGAGAGACAGGCCCAUGGAGAGAUGAAGAAAAGAAGAAUGAUGGAUGUACUGUGUGUUUCUGGGAAUUUGAAGGUAAAUAACUCUUUUACUACUUAAAAGGUUCGGCUUUUAAGAAAAAAAAUAGACAAUUUUGAAUGAAGGGCUGAAAUUCAUGUUUGUUUCAGGUAACUUCAAAGAGUCAAACGCCUAAAAUGACUCCAGAGGAGGCCAAAGACCAACUCGGUGAUGCAGAAUGAGAUUGGAUGAACAAGACAACAUGGAGUAGUAAAGUAAGUAAAGUUUGAUGAAUGUGUCAUGUUUCAUUAAACUGUUGUCUUUGUGUGCUGCUCCAUUGACCUGCAUUUUCUUCAUCUUUCAUCUCCUUAUAUUUAUCUCUAUACAACAGACACUCGCAAGGAUGAGAGUGAAGAUGAUAAGCAGCCGAAAGAAGAAGAUAAGAUGAGAACAGCAGCAAAGAUGGUGAACAUGGACAAGAGUUUCAGGGCAUGAAGGUACACUGACUGCAUCCUUUGUUCUUUUCUUUCAGAAUGUAAUCACUUCUUAAAGAUUGGUCUCUACAUACUUUGGUGGAUAUCUGUUAAAGGAUAUUGUAUUUUAAUAUUUUUGUCUUUUCAUUAUAGUUGAACAAGUGUAAGAGUGGCCUCCUAACACAACAGUUAUCCAGCUGGUGACUGAAAAGCACAGAAGAAACUCUGGGAGGAGAGCA
rnacentral:lncRNA from 1 species